GACAGGAAACAUCUGAGUCUGACACUCCUGUGGCAUGGAUCACUCUGGAACAGCUGGGGCUUCUUAUUCUGCUGGGUAACCCCUGGCUCAGGCCAAACUUCCAUGGGUGGACAAGAAAUAACACAUUACCUUGUGCCUAGCUAAUUUAUUCCUGGAAUAAGUAAUCUUCCAUGGCUGACAGAGGAUAACUUGACCUCACUUCUGAAUUGCCAGCUGUGACUUGUGCAGCUACACAUGCAGUGGGUAGAAGUCCAGCUUCCUUGUUUCACUUUUCCAUGAACUUCCCAGUCUAGGAACUCUAAUUCCUGUAGUUUUCCCACUGGAAUACCACAGAAGAUUAUGGGACUUAGCAUACUUCUGUAGAUAAAACCAGAUCCAGACCAACAGCUCUUUUGAGCUGGCUGAAGCUAGGUCACAUCUUUAAAGCUAUUAGAUAUAUGGCUAGAUGGGCUGACUUGGUUAUUUACCUUUAUAUAUGGAUUAUAUGGAUUUAUAAGUUCUUUAUUAUUUUAUUUAUUAUUUUUAUUUAAUGUAUGGUAUCUGAAGAUUUUCCAAAAAAGCCACUGUUAUCCUCAUUUGUACGCUCCAUUCUUCCAGUAAAACCCUACCAGAUGACAGUGGAGAAAGGAGGAAUUUUCUGAGGUUAUUUCCUGCUAUCUGGAGAUAGGCAAGAAGUUCCAUUGUAUUGUUUCUAUAAGAUCUGCAAUUCCCAGUCACAGGAAUUGCUUGUGUGACUGUUAAGCCCUUUGUGGAUUCAGAUAAGAAGGACAGUGGUUCUCUGGAACAGAUGUGGUGUUUAGGAUGACAUAACAAGUGCUACCAACACCCUCAAUGUGUGACUGAACAACUUUUGCGUGUCAUCCUUCUUGGCACCCACAGAGAUGGAGGAUGAGGCUUACUAUUUAACAGCUGUUGGUGACCUUCUUUGCUCACCAAUUUGGAGUCAAUGAUGCUCUAAUACACUUGUUUACCUGGCAGCUGACAUUCUAGAGGCAAAACAAAUUUUGGUCAGUCCCCUGGUCUGGAUUCCAGUGUCUUAAUAAAAUGUUUCUUCAUUGGCCUGUAUUCUGUUCUGGUCAAUAAAGCCCCAUGGACUUUG